rnacentral:tRNA from 1 species
GGCCCCGUCGUCUAGUCUGGCCUAGGACACCGGACUUUCGAUCCGGUAACAGGGGUUCAAAUCCCCUCGGGGUCA